rnacentral:rRNA from 1 species
CUUAGAGUUUGAUCCUGGCUCAGAACGAACGCUGGCGGCAGGCUUAACAUGCAAGUCGAGCGCUCACCUUCGGGUGGGAGCGGCGGACGGGGUAGUAACGCGUGGGAACGUACCCUUUUCUAAGGAAUAGCCAUUGGAAACGAUGAGUAAUACCUUAUAAGCCCUUCGGGGGAAAGAUUUAUCGGUAAAGGAUCGGCCCGCGUUAGAUUAGAUAGUUGGUGAGGUAACGGCUCACCAAGUCUACGAUCUAUAGCUGGUUUUAGAGGAUGAUCAGCAACACUGGGACUGAGACACGGCCCAGACUCCUACGGGAGGCAGCAGUGGGGAAUCUUAGACAAUGGGCGCAAGCCUGAUCCAGCCAUGCCGCGUGUGUGAUGAAGGCCUUAGGGUCGUAAAGCACUUUCGCCAGAGAUGAUAAUGACAGUAUCUGGUAAAGAAACCCCGGCUAACUCCGUGCCAGCAGCCGCGGUAAUACGGAGGGGGUUAGCGUUGUUCGGAAUUACUGGGCGUAAAGCGUACGUAGGCGGAUCAGAAAGUAUAGGGUGAAAUCCCAGGGCUCAACCCUGGAACUGCCUUAUAAACUCCUGGUCUUGAGUUCGAGAGAGGUGAGUGGAAUUCCUAGUGUAGAGGUGAAAUUCGUAGAUAUUAGGAGGAACACCAGUGGCGAAGGCGGCUCACUGGCUCGAUACUGACGCUGAGGUACGAAAGUGUGGGGAGCAAACAGGAUUAGAUACCCUGGUAGUCCACACCGUAAACGAUGAAUGCCAGUCGUCGGGUAGCAUGCUUGUUGGUGACACACCUAACGGAUUAAGCAUUCCGCCUGGGGAGUACGGUCGCAAGAUUAAAACUCAAAGGAAUUGACGGGGGCCCGCACAAGCGGUGGAGCAUGUGGUUUAAUUCGAAACAACGCGCAGAACCUUACCAACCCUUGACAUACCUGUCGCGGUUACCAGAUGGUUUCCUUCAGUUCGGCUGGACAGGAUACAGGUGUUGCAUGGCUGUCGUCAGCUCUUGUCGUGAGAUGUUGGGUUAAGUCCCGCAACGAGCGCAACCCUCGCCUUUAGUUGCCAACAUUUAGUUGGGCACUCUAGAGGGACUGCCGGUGAUAAGCCGGAGGAAGGUGGGGAUGACGUCAAGUCCUCAUGGCCCUUAUGGGUUGGGCUACACACGUGCUACAAUGGCGGCGACAGAGGGCAGCGACCCCGCAGCCGUCUCAGUUCGGAUUGGGG